rnacentral:rRNA from 1 species
AUUCCCCCUAGUUACUGCGAGUGAAGCGGGAAAAGCUCAAAUUUAAAAUCUGGCGGGUUCCCCGUCCGAGUUGUAAUCUGGAGAAGCGUUUUCCGUAUCGGACCGUGUACAAGUCCUUUGGAAUGGGGCGUCAUAGAGGGUGAGAAUCCCGUCCAUGACAUGGACUACCGAUGCUCUGUGAUACGCUCUCGAAGAGUCGAGUUGUUUGGGAAUGCAGCUCAAAAUGGGUGGUAAAUUCCAUCUAAAGCUAAAUAUUGGCGAGAGACCGAUAGCGAACAAGUACCGUGAGGGAAAGAUGAAAAGCACUUUGGAAAGAGAGUUAAACAGUACGUGAAAUUGUUGAAAGGGAAACGCUUGAAGUCAGUCGCGUCCGUCGAGACUCAGCCUUGCCUUUGGCCUGGUGUACUUCUCGGUGGACGGGUCAACAUCGAUUUUGAAUGGCGGACAAAGGUCUGGGGAAUGUGGCACCUCCGGGUGUGUUAUAGCCUCUCUCCGUAUACGCUGUUUGGGAUCGAGGACCGCAGCACGCCCUUGUGGCCGGGGUUUUACCCACGUACCGUGCUUAGGAUGUUGGCAUAAUGGCUUUAAGCGACCCGUCUUGAAACACGGACCAAGGAGUCUAACAUGCCUGCGAGUGUUAGGGUGCAAAACCCUUGCGCGUAAUGAAAGUGAAAGUUGGGACCUCUGUCGAGGAGGGCACCGACGCCCGGCCCUGAACUCUUGUGACGGUGCUGCGGUAGAGCAUGUAUGUUGGGGACCCGAAAGAUGGUGAACUAUGCCUGAAUAGGGCGAAGCCAGAGGAAAACUCUGGUGGAGGCUCGUACCGAUU